UAUAAAUAUAGUUGUGAAUUUUCAUGUCUAACAUUUAACUAUCUAUCUUAGUUAAAAUAUUUUUAUGAUUAAUAUUUUUGUUGUUAUUAGAUAGUAUUUUAUGUGUGACUUGUUAUUUUUUUUAAAAAAAUAUAAAUUUUUCUAAUAAGACGUACGGUCAAACGUUGAACACGAAAACUCACAGCUGCAUUUAAA
rfam:Oryza barthii chromosome 3, whole genome shotgun sequence.